UACGGGGGGGGUAAGCGUUGUUCGGAAUUACUGGGCGUAAAGCGUGCGAAGGCGGUUCGCCAAGUCAGGUGUGAAAUCCCCGGGCUUAACCUGGGAAUUGCGCUUGAAACUAGCGGGCUUGAGUGUGGCAGAGGGGGGUGGAAUUCCACGUGUAGCAGUGAAAUGCGUAGAGAUGUGGAGGAACACCGAUGGCGAAGGCAGCCUCCUGGGCCAAUACUGACGCUCAUGCACGAAAGCGUGGGGAGCAAACAGG
rnacentral:rRNA from 1 species